GGGCCAAGAUACCAGCAUUAUCCAUCUCCCGCUGCGCGCCAAGGGAAACUCUGACUGAGUAAAUAAUUUAUGAUAAAGAGAUACCACAUUGGGUCUGUAAACUACCAAUAAAUGAUUGCCUUAAUCGAUCCCUAAGUUUAUAACUCCAAGCUACAAGUUUUCUUGUUGACUAUUGGAAGCGGGAGUUUUUCCUCAUCAAAUUUUAGUCAUUAUUUUGGUGACGAGUCCGCUAACUGCAUUCAGUUGUAAAAUUGGCAGUCUCCGACUUGUAUCCUGGAAGCGGCCCCGCUUGUAGUCCAGCCGGUAAGUUUAUGAUUCUUCGCUACACACAUGAUCGAACUACUUCCAUUGAGUUAGCAUACCGUACACCCCAUACACAAAGUCUCGGCACACCAUUCUUUCUUUUAUUGGUGUGUGGUUCUUCCACUUGUGACCCCGUCCGUAACGCGAAGUACCACGGCGAAAUAUUCAUGAACUUGCCCUAAAGGAGUCACUGCUUACGACCAACCAUUGAAGGAUUCGAUUCAAAUGGACGGGCGUGUUCUCAAAGAGCUACCACUCCAUUCGUAACUCGUCCACGUACGCAGUGUGUAUACCACACAACCAGCCACCGCGAGAAAUCCCGACAGUGCGAUCUCUUUGAAAAACGGUCGCGGCUUGUAGCUUCGUGCGAUCAACUGUGUGUCUUUGUUUAGCCAGAUUCCUCGAAAGGUAGGCCUGUCAUCGAGUCAUGCCUACAACAUGCGGCUUUCCUAAUUGCAAGUUUCGUUCUCGCUACAAGGGAACUGACGACCCCCGUCAUUUUUAUCGCGUUCCUAAGCGUCCAGCCAUUCUGCGUGAGAGGUGGCUGGAGGCCAUUGGCCGCACUGAAGAGACAAUUGUUGGUCAGCUGUUUUGUUGAUCAGCCAGCCGUUCGUUCCUUGACCGCGCACUCUUCCUUGGGUUUGUGAAAACUACCCUUAGGAAUUGCUGAGGUAUCAAUCACAUUACCUAUUUUAUUUUGAUUUAUACUAACACCUUUUUGUGUUUAUUAAUUCUUUACAUAUUCAUUUUGCUGUUUUGUUUUGAUUUGCCAUUUCAUACUAACAUUUCAAUUUUUGAUUUUGCUGUCAUUCUCUUACUUUGAUAUAAUUUCCUAUUUCCCAUUCCUUUCUGUUAUGUUGUUUCCCAUACAAAAUAAAUGAAAAUCAUUGCAAUUCAGUGAAUAUAAUUUAUAAAUUUCAAUUUCUGUAAAAAUUUCAUGGAAUUUUCAAUUAUCUUUCAUUUAACACAAAAGAAUAUUACAUGUAUAGCAGCUUUCAUUUUUCAAAUGUUGCAUGCUUUCCCAUAUUUUUUCUGUGCAGUUAUGAUUCUUUUUCAAUAUUUCUCAUCCCUACCUUUUCUUUGUAAGCUAUCGGAAAAAAAUGAUGCCUUUUAAAUGUUUUUCAUGCUUUUUGCUUUUAUUAUUUAAUUCAUCAUUUCAUCUCUUUAAUUUUGUAAUAAAGGUGGAAGGCUCCUGUUCCUAUUUGUUCUCUCUAAACUUAUAUUCUCAUUGUUGUAUUAGUUGGAAAGAUAACUCUCUUAAACAUGUGCAGUACCAUUUCUAUCUAGAUGCAAUUUUCUUUGUAACUUCUUUUGUCUUUUCCUGAUUCCAACUUGUGACUAAAAUAUUGUUAAAUAAGAAAAAAAACUUUUAUAACAAUUUGCUGCUAUAAUGUUUGAGCCUUUUGUUCUGAACUUGCUCCACUCAAAGGUGGUUUUAUAAUUUACACACUUCAAAUUUUGUGUUUUAUUACAACAUGAUAACUUUGCUAAAUGAAGGGGUAUUGUGUUUAUUUUGUUUUAAUAUUGUUUUUAUUUGUUAUUUGAUUGCUAAACUUAUUUUAAAGGGGACGUUCACCCUGACAAAAAGUUAAUUGUAAAAAUAGAAAAAAUAAUAAUUAAAAGAUAUUAAAGAUUUAAGGGAAAUCCAUCAAAGAUUUUAAUUUGUGACAUAUGCAAACAGCUUCCCAUGUAUCUUGAGUUACAAAAAAAUAAAUGAAAUGUUAUUUUGUCAGACAACUGAAAGUGGUAUUUGUAGUACCUACAGUAUAUCAACAGACAAAUUAUUUCACACCCUCUCCUAAAUGAAAAAAAAAACAGAUCCUGGUCGGUAUGCCAAUGAGGAGACUGGUGACAUCAUCAACUCACUAUUUCUUUUGUAUUUUAUUAUAUGAAAUAUUCUCAUUUUCUCAUUUUCAAGUGAAACAGCAAUUAAUUCCUCUCUGAACAUGUGGAGUUAUCAUUAUGGUUCAGUCAAGUUUGUCCUUAUUGUCAAAUCGGUAAAAAAUGAAAUAUUGUAUAACUCAAACAAUAAAAAACAAAAGAUAUAGUGAGUGAGGGACAUCAUUGACUGUCUCAUUUGCAUGCAUGUCACUGAGUUUUGCAUAUCACUGUUUUGAGAAAAAUAAGGGAAACUUUAAAAUGUCACAACUUUCUUAUUUUACAUCCGAUUUUAAUGAAAUUUUCAGCCUAGUUUUAUUUUCUCUAUUUAUUCAAAUCAACAUUUUUCUGGGGUGUACUUGACCUUUAAAAAAACAUAUAUACCAAUGCUUUUGCUGAUUUUUGUCAAACUUGAUAGUGUUAAUGAUUCAUAAGAGCUUGACAUUAGCCCAUCAUAUCCCCAACAGAAAAUGAUAAAACUUACAUUUGCUUGACAUUCUUUUGAUGAAGAUGAAGAUAAAAUAAAGAUAAUGGUAAUAAUAAUAAUAAAAUAAAUAUUCAAACAAAACGAAAUAAUGGUCAUAAUGUAAUAACACCAUACAUGUAAUGAUAUUUAUAAUGAUAAUGAUGAAGAAUAAUAUUUGAUGAUAAUCACUGUAGGAUUUUUUUUUAUUGAGAACAACAAUUUUCAUUUCUGUUCACUUGCAGUGAUCAUCAAUAAUAACUGACUAUGUAACUCUUAUAUAUUGCAACCUUUCAGUAAUAUUCAUGAAUCAUUUCAUUCUAUAAUCUAUUUGUGAACUGUUUUGAUGUGUGUGAUAACAUUCAAGUAUGAUAUAAUGACUGUGUUGGGUGAUAUCAGUCUAUUGGAUCAUAUUUGUUUGGUGAUAAUGCUAACAAUGUUUAUUACAUUGUAUUCCAUCAUUUUACAAAUAUAUUAACAUGUGGUGUGAGAAUACAUGUAUGUGCCUGCAUUAGAAUGUAAUUCAAAUGUAAUUAAUUCCUUUUUGUUGAAUAUUUAAGUCUCUGAAAUGUAUUUAAAGCACUUGUAUGGCUUAUAAUAUGUAAUUAACCAUGAAUUUCAUAAUUUCUUGACAUACCUCACUAUUGUUCAUUGACAAUUUAAUUUUCAUUAGAAUGCAGUGAAUCAUGUAUAUUACCACAAGAGUGCUACCAAGUCAUGCAUGAAUUUUGCCAUUCAGGAGUACAUUAUCCUAUUGAUCCGAUUACACAUUGUACAAAAACAUUCAUUUUCCCACACUGUUGUUUAAAUUUGAAAAUUUGAAACUAACAAUCGCUGAAUCCUGUUGCACUUUAACCUCAUUAUUCAAGCAAAGGAUUUUAUUUUACAAGCACAUUCAUGGUCGAUUGUAUUUAGACUUCCUUGGAAAAGGAAGUGAAUUUUUUGCUAAGCACACAUUCUGUGUUUCAAGGCAAUUAUAUUGUGGAGUGUGGACCAGUGGUUAAGUCACUGGAAUGGAUGAGUGGUACAGACCAAGUGGGUUCACAUCCCUGCUACAUGAAGUUUGACCUUUUAAGCACCAGUUUCACCUAAAUGUUUAAAUUGAUGAGAUCAGCAUAUGAAUGGCUAGAUGUCUUGUGCAAACAUUAAAAGAGAUUGCUGCAUUGAGCCCUUGACCAUGAAUGUUUGAGCUCUGUAGGAAACUUAAGAUGUAUUCACUUGUGACUGGGGGAGGCAAGGGGUAUAUUGCUGUUACAGAGUUUGCCUCGUACAUGUAUGAUAAAUGCAUGUAUAGUUUCUUCGGUGUGUUUUUUUUUAUAUAACUUUUUUACAUGUACAUGAAUACAAAGCUGUAUGUACAAGGCUUUUCUUCUAUUAAAUGCUCUUCUUCAAUGCUGAAAAUGGUGCAAUCAUAUAGCUUUUCAUUAUUCUGUAUGAAUAUUAUUAUAUGCCUAUUAUUUGGUAUUGUUCGUCGCUGUGAUUUGAACCUUGGGAAAAUAUUUAAACAAGACCAUUGCACUUAAACUGAUGAGCUAACAGAAUGUUUUCUGUACAGUAGCAGCCAUGCAGUAAUUAACAUUCUUCUGUAUCAAAUUUCAUCAGUUUAAUUAAUUCCAUUCUUUGAUAUACAUGUAAAUGCAUAAAAGAAGAUUAUUGGAACGUGUUAAGCUAGAUGCUUUGUAAUUUUUUUGCUUGGCCUAGUUCCAUUUGCGUCUCAGAUGGGUUUAUUACUGGAAUCACUGUAAUAGUCUUGUAAACAGACCAGUGUUAGACAAAAGUUAUUUAUUGUAAUAAUCCUGGUGUUAUUGAUAUUUUCCUGACUACACUAAGCUUUAAUAUUGUAGUUUAUUUUAUAUAGUUUUCACUCAAUGUAUAUGGAAUAAUUGCAUGUUUGCAUGUGUGUGUGAGAAAGAGAGAGUGCAUCUUGGUUGCAUGAAUGACAUUGACUCAGGUCGGCCAAAAGUCAUCAAGUUCAGUUGAAUACAUGACAAACAUCUCCAUUAUGGAUAUCUCAGGAUGAUAUUUGGAUUUAGGAAGAUGUUUAUUUCUAGAAAACUUACUGGUUUCAAUGUGCCAUCAUGUGUAUUGUUAAUAAUGUCCUUGCGAAUUGAUAAUCAGCAUGUCAUUAGAUGUAAUGGUACAUGUAGCUGAUCUGGGCUUUUGAAAGAAAAACAACACAGAUGCUGACUGUGACUAACUAAUCAAUUCACCAAGCAUUUGGAAUUGCUUUAAAUAUGUCUUCCGAUUGUCAGAAAUCAUGUGUAAGUGGCAAGCCAUUCUGAGACUCAUUUCAACAUGACUGCAGGCAUACACAUGAAAUUUCCUUUUAUUUGUUGAUAAUCCUUUGUAUAUCUUUAUGAUCAGAAGAGUCUUUUCUUCUAGUCUUACAUAUUAUUAAAGUCAUUUUGUUGCAGCUUGUUCUUGAAAACAAUCUUUGUGUAGCAAAAUUGAGUAGCUAGAUUGCAUUUACUUUCUACCAUUUUGCACACGCAUCUCCCCCCCCCCUCCCCUCAAAGUUGUGGUAAGUUGAUUGCAUUUGUUCAUCGCAGCUUCCAUUGGAUUGAGAUUAAAUGUGACAUGGCAUCUAUAAGCUGUUUCAUGUCAUUUCUCAAGCAACGCUUGAUGUAUUGACAUCAUUCACGUCCGUCCGCGGCCAAUCAGCACGGGAAGUGUAUGGGAUGCAAAGAUGGUUGCAAAAUACACCUGUACAAAUGGAUUGUUACUUCUGCUGGGUGUAAUUCAAGGAGGAUGUUAAAGCUUCAGGAUACAGGGUCAGCCUGUUACCAUGUCACACUCCAAUAUAUUACUCUCCUAUAUCUUGUAUUUUAUCUUGGCAGGAUGGUAAUGGAAUGUUAUCAAAUUCUUUUGGAUACUUUGGGUGGUAGCUCUUGUCCCACUGAUUUUUUAGAGCACUGUGUUUGAUGUUUUAAAUACGCUUUAUAAGAAUAGGCUGACACUUAUCGAGAGCAAGAAAUUUCCAAAAGGCAAUUUAAUUUUAGGCCUAUUAUUUAUAGGCCUAUCUAUUAUAUGUCUUUAUCCUUCUGUCUCUUAGAUGUUUUCUUUUAUUAGUAUUCAGGCCUACACAAUAGCUCUAAAGAAACAAUAAUUCAAGUAAAAGAAAUCCUUGAUUUUCCAGCAUAAUGAGCUUGAUUAUCUUAUAUAUUUUCAGUCUUACCAUUGUUUUAUUUCUAUUUUCAGUGAAGACAUUCAAUUCUUGAAGAGAUCUUUCUGUCCAAUAUACAUUGAAGUGAUGUGUACUUUACUCUCAUUUAUUUGAUUUCAAACGGCAUUGGAGUGAUGUGUGGGAGAAUGAGUUUGACAGUUUGUCUAUUACCCCCAAUAGACUGUUCUAGAUCCAUUCUUGAAUGAAUUAUUGGUCUCUCAGUCUAGAAGGUAUGUAGCCCUAGCUGUUGCACCUUUGGCAAAUUCUUCUUCCGUUUUCAGUACAGACCACCUUUUCAGUGUAGUUUUCUACUGGUACUUAAAAAAAAAAUAGUUUUCAGGGCCUGACCUUUACUUUUUUCUUAGGGAGCCAGCCGGGCUCCUCAAGCACUUUUUUAGGGAGCCCGCAGGGGUUUUAAGGAGCCCAAGUUUAUCCCUUUUUUUGCAUAAUACUGGUCAUUACUUAUUAAAAUAUUAAAGCACACCAUCACGAUACGUUUUUUGUUUAAUAAUCAUCAGCACCAGUUGUAUUUAUUCAGGACUUCAAUGACUUUUUUUUCAUUUUUAAUGCCCCCCCCCCCUCAAAAAAAAAAUUAAAUUAAAAAAAGGAAAUAAAUUAAAUACAUAAACAAAAUUGAUUUUUUUCAUGCUGAAUCAUGGAUGUGGGUUGGUGUGUGUUUGUGUGGGUGUCGACUGUGCGGUGGACUUGGAUAUACAUGUAUAUGUUAAAGAAAUUAAUUCAUCAUCUAAUUUCUACUCCAAAUAUUGUGUUUAUAUCAGUACAAAAACCACACAGGCUAAGUAUGUCACAUGUAGGCACUUACAUGUACAUGCAUGUACCCUAACUUUUCCUGCAGUUCUUUGAAAACGCAGAUCUCCACGAAAAUUGCAUUUUUCUAUGGGGGAGUCUAAAUUCGGUGAAAAAGUAUUCAUCAAUAACUUAAAUAUAUAUCACAAUGAAGAAACCUUCCAACUUUAUUGGUAGUUUAAAAAAAAAACCUGAAAUGUAAACUAUAUCUGAAACAGAAAAUCACCAUCAUUGAGGCCUUUACUGACCGAAUUGUCCCCCAGAGCUCAGGCAGAGAGAGAGAGCUCCGACUUGCACAAGUGUCAGUGCGUGCGUGAGUAAAAUCCGGCGGCCUCCUAAAAUCAGAUGUUGCCAUGUUUGAUGAUUUACUGUCUGAUAUUUACCCCCUCCCUUGAAAAAAUGAAACAAAUGAUUUUUCAGGAAUAAUUCACUACCGAGGUAAGUUACUUUGGAUGUUAAUAGGCGCCCUUUUGACAAGCAGAGCCGAAGUCUACAUGACACAGAAUCGUGAUAUCCCUAAGGGAAAUGUGUGCAUUGGAAAUUACACACGGCGUAAAUGAUAAUGGACCCCUGUACAUGCAACUGUUUCUCGCAACGGUGUAGCCCGAUUCUUAUUUUCCAUAGGUACCAUGUUUGUGGAAAAACGUGGCACAGAAAAAAAGACGCAGCUAAGCAAUUUGAAACUUGCUAUUUUCAAGGUUUUUUUAUGAUUUUGAAAACAUAAUUUAGGUAGAUUAAAGCGUGGAUUAGUGUGCUGGUAAGAAAUUGCUUUUUUGGUGGCUGGUACUAGAAAAUCUUAGGGAGCCCACCGGGCUUUUUCAAUUACUUUCUAAGGAGCCCGCAGAGGUUUUAGGGAGCCUUUUGCCACCGGGCUCCCGCUAAAAUCGAGCCCUGGUUUUGCCAAGGACCGGCAGGUGUAAUACAUUAGGUGAACACCCUACUCUUUAAUGAAUAGUGUCUAAGGCAUAUGAAAUGUGCAUAGGUUUUGACUCUCCUUCUUAUAAUGACCAACAUUUGCAUCCUUCCGAUGGAUGGAGUGAUAUCUGACUGCAUUUCACACCUGUACUGAAUACUGUGGUUAUGCAUGCUAAUGCAGUGUUGUAGCAUUAGUUUUGUAAUUCUUAGGCGUUGACACAACAUUUCCUCCGGCGACAAUUGCUCCGGGCUUUAUUUCGUCAAAGAUAUAGGGUUAAGGUAAGGGUUGCAAUAGGGUUUUAUUUUAGGUUUAGGAUAGGGUAUAGUUUUACAUCAAGGGUUGAAGUUGGUCAUUCUGUUUGUGCGUUGAAUUCGCCGGAGCAUGUCAUGGAACCUUCUCAAUCAGACCUUGAUAUUUCAAUGUUUUAGGCAAGGUCAGUUUCCCAUACCGCACAUUCCUAUAUUACAUGUACCAUGUAAAUGGAAAAAAGUUAAAUGAGCACCCAAAAUAUCUAAUGCCCAUGAAAGGGCAUGAGAGCCAAUCACAGUGGGAUCUAAUAUUUUCUAGAUUGCUGAAGCAAUAGGCUUACCUUAUUUUUAGAAAGCUCACACCUGUACCUGUAAAGUAAAAGUGGGGGAAUGCUUCUGAUUAGCUAGUGUAGUCUUCAAGGUCAGUGAGAGUUCAUGAGUACUGUAAAUGGAAACCAAACUGUUGAGCCGUUAUCUCCCCAAACUUCUACCAGAAGUGUUUUACUGAAACCCUCCCCCAAGGCCAUGAGGCUAUUGGAUGAAUCUGGUAAUCUCUUGCCCCCCUCUUGAUGAGACACCAAUAAUCACAUGUCUUGUCAUAGUGGGUCUUCCACAUAUUGAUAUGAUUCAUUUUGAUUCGUGUUGGUACUAUCUGAAUAGAGCAAGAGACAUUCUAUAUCUACCCCAGCUCAAUGAGAUACAGAACUGAGUGAUUCUGGAGGUCACUUGGUAAACGAACAGAAGUUCGAAGAUAAUCAGUACAUUGCAGGGUUAAAAAUGAAAUAUUCUUAACCUUGUCCAAGUUUAUUUUUGUCAAGUUUUUCCAUUUUAUAUCCACUAAAAUGGUAUAAUGAUUCAAAGUUUUACAAGGAGGUGGGCCUAGUUCCUACAAUGUAGGCCUAGUAACAAGUAGCUUCAUUUAAAUAAAUACUUCCAUAAUGUGUAAAAGGAAACCUUAAUUAUUUCGUCAUUAUAGCCCUUAUCAUUUUAUCGGAAGGCUCUUUCAGUACUCUACACUAAUGCAGAAUAUAUUUCUAACUCCCCAUUUACCUCACCUGGGUUCAGUGCAGCACAACUUGGAUAAAUUUCUUUCUAAAGGAAAUGACACCAUGGCUGGAUUGUAACCCACAACCAUGUGAUUGAAAGGCAAGAGUCGGAACCACUAGACCACGAAUGUUCCAAAAUACAUCAGGUUUUUUUUCUGAAUGACUCCUGAUAUCUACAUAUUUAAACCUGGUUGACCAUGUACUGAAAAGGCUCAGUUCUUUUUUUUUGUGAUCUUUGUAGAUGAUUUGUUGCUUGUGAAAAAAUCUUCAUGGUUUGGCCAAAGUUUGAUGCAUAACCAAGCAAGAUAUGAAAUAGAAAUUGAGUCCAUGCACAAAAUCUUUCAAAAGGUUUGACAGAAAAGAUUGAAAAUGUUGAAGAAAAAAAAAAGGAGAAAGUUUAAUAGAAGAAAGGAAAGUUAAGGACAGAGUGAAGAAGAUAAAGUAAAAGGAACACAUGCAUAGUUACCUUGUGUCAAUUGUAUGGUUUCAUCUAUUUUAGAAUUAAUGAACCAGCUAAAUACUUUAAUGAAUCUUUCAGGCAAGUAGGUACAGGUAUCCCC